rnacentral:rRNA from 1 species
CAGUAGCCACGGUAAUACGUAGGUGGCAAGCGUUGUCCGGAAUUAUUGGGCGUAAAGGGCUCGCAGGCGGUUUCUUAAGUCUGAUGUGAAAGCCCCCGGCUCAACCGGGGAGGGUCAUUGGAAACUGGGAAACUUGAGUGCAGAAGAGGAGAGUGGAAUUCCACGUGUAGCGGCGAAAUGCGUAGAGAUGUGGAGGAACACCAGUGGCGAAGGCGACUCUCUGGUCUGUAGCUGACGCUGAGGAGCGAAAGCGUGGGGAGCGAACAGGAUUAGAUACCCCUGUAGUCCCUGUCUCUUAUAC